GACGAACGCUGGCGGCGUGCCUAAUACAUGCAAGUCGAACGCAGUGGGGACGGGUGAGUAACACGUGGGUAACCUCGCAUCAGAGGGGAUACGGCUUGGAAACCGGUGCUAAACCGAUACUGAUGGAUGGACCCGCGGGGGAUUAGCUAGUUGGUGAGGUAACGGCUAACCAAGGCCACGAUGCAUAGCUGAUCUGAGAGGGGGAUCGGCCACACUGGGACUGAGACACGGCCCAGACUCCUACGGGAGGCAGCAGUAGGGAAUAUUGCGCAAUGGACGAAAGCCUGAUCGAGCAACGCCGCGUGAGUGAAGAAGGCCUUAGGAUCGUAAAAUUCUUUUGGUAGAGAAGCGGUAUCGAAACAGAAAGCAACGGCUAACUACGUGCCAGCAGCCGCGGUAAUAC
rnacentral:rRNA from 1 species